AAGGCGUUCGCCUCCUUGAUGAUGCUCAUCUUAUGGGAGAUAUGGGCGGAGCGUAACGUCAGGGUCUUUUGAUACACGGCCAUCCCUUCCAUGGUCCUAAUCAGUAAGAUCAAAAAGGAGGUGUCUCUUUGGGCGGUGGCGGGUGCGAAGGACAUGAGUGUUUAA
rnacentral:rRNA from 1 species